rnacentral:rRNA from 1 species
CCUACGGGGGGCUGCAGUGGGGAAUUUUGGACAAUGGACGAAAGUCUGAUCCAGCCAUGCCGCGUGCGGGAAGAAGGCCUUCGGGUUGUAAACCGCUUUGCGAGAAUCGUCGGUACCUGAAGAAUAAGCACCGGCUAACUACGUGCCAGCAGCCGCGGUAAUACGUAGGGUGCAAGCGUUAAUCGGAAUUACUGGGCGUAAAGCGUGCGCAGGCGGUUCUAUAAGACAGAUGUGAAAUCCCCGGGCUCAACCUGGGAACUGCAUUUGUGACUGUAGAGCUCGAGUACGGUAGAGGGGGAUGGAAUUCCGCGUGUAGCAGUGAAAUGCGUAGAUAUGCGGAGGAACACCGAUGGCGAAGGCAAUCCCCUGGCCGUACUGACGCUCAUGCACGAAAGCGGGGGAGCAAACAGGAUUAGAUACCUUGUAGUC